CUAGACCCUUCUAGAGUAGGGUUAAAGUCAUAAUUCUAAGACUCCAAUGCAAUGAAUUGGCUAAAAAGUUAAUAAUUCAAGGACUAUGUGAAUAAAAUCUAAAAAUAGGAAGAGGGACUAAGGGGUAAUCAUAAGAAAAAGGGUUUCCCUAAGCUUUAGAUAUAAAAAGAGCACUCUAAUGCCUUCAUAAAGAGGGGGCUGGUAGAUUGAAGUCUCUUAAAAACAUCCCAAGAUUUUUGCACUCUUAAGGUCAUAUAAAAAUUCACUAAAAUUCCCAGGAAAUCCUGAAAGAAGAAUAGAGUCUAAAACUUCCCAAAUGUUGCUUUAUUAAAGUGAUUUUCCUCAUAAUUAAU
rnacentral:lncRNA from 1 species